GAGGGUAUAGCUCAGUGGUAGAGCAUGUACUUAGCACGCACAAGGUCCUGGGUUCAAGCCUCGGUACCAACA
rfam:Camelus ferus unplaced genomic scaffold scaffold642, whole genome shotgun sequence.